UUCGGUACAUCGGUGACAGGUGGUGCAUGGUUGUCGUCAGCUCGUGUCGUGAGAUGUUGGGUUAAGUCCCGCAACGAGCGCAACCCCUAUUGUUAGUUGCCAUCAUUCAGUUGGGCACUCUAGCGAGACUGCCGGUAAUAAACCGGAGGAAGGUGGGGAUGACGUCAAAUCAUCAUGCCCCUUAUGACCUGGGCUACACACGUGCUACAAUGGUUGGUACAACGAGUUGCGAGUCGGUGACGGCGAGCUAAUCUCUUAAAGCCAAUCUCAGUUCGGAUUGUAGGCUGCAACUCGCCUACAUGAAGUCGGAAUCGCUAGUAAUCGCGGAUCAGCACGCCGCGGUGAAUACGUUCCCGGGCCUU
rnacentral:rRNA from 1 species